rnacentral:rRNA from 1 species
UACGUAGGGUCCAAGCAUUAUCCGGAUUUAUUGGGCGUAAAGCACAUGUAGGUGGUUUUGUAAGUCUUAUCUUAAAUCUCCGAGCUCAACUCGGAUUCUGGCUAAGAUACUGCAAGGCUAGUGGUCAGCAGGGGCAAACGGAAUUCCCGGUGUAGGAGUGAAAUCCGUUGAUAUCGGGAGGAACACCAAUGGCGAAGGCAGUUUGCUGGGCUGAUUCAGACACUGAGAUGUGAAAGCGUGGGGAGCGAACGGG